UACACAAACAUCCACCCAUAGACUAAACAAACCAUUUGACUAACUAAGUAGAUGAGAUCGAACAGCAAACACACCUCAUAGUACCGUAAGGGAAAUAAAGCACUAAAGCAAAAAACAGCAAAGACUAACCCUUGUACCUUUCGCAUUAUGGUUUAGCAAGAAAACAAGGACAAGAAGAGUCAUAGCCCACACCCCCGAAACCAGGUGAGCUACUUUUAAAGCAGCCUACAGGGCACACCCUUCUCUGUAGCAAAAGAGUGGGAAGACUUAAAAGUAGAAGUGAAACGCCUAUCGAACCUGGAGAUAGCUGGCUACCUAAAAAGGAAUAUUAGUCCCACUUUAGAUUAAAACAUAACCACUUAUUACCUAAAGACAAUCAAUAGGGGUACAGCUCUAUUGAAACAGGAAACAACCUGAAUUUGAGAGGAAAAAUCAACACAUAACCAGUAGGACUUUAAGCAGCCACCCAACAAAAUAUCGUUAAAGAAUUAUUAUAAAAAUCCCAAAACUAAUUAAAAACUCCAAACAAACUAAAGGUAAGCCCAUCCCUAUGGACAAAAUCAUGCUAAAACUAAUAAUAAGACGACUUCUCUACACGCACCUAUCCCCUAGAAACGGAACAACCACUAGCCAUUAACAGACCACAUUAGGAAACAUAAUUAAAUUAUACCCACCUCUACAUAAACUGUGACCCCAACACAGGAGCGUUAAAAAGAAAGAUUAACUAUUAUAAAAGGAAUUCGGCAAACAACGACCCCAACUGUUUAACAAAAACAUAACCUUUAGCCUAAACAAGUAUUAAAGGCAACGCCUGCCCAGUGAAUAAUUAAACGGCCGCGGUACCCUAACCGUGCAAAGGUAGCAUAAUCAUUUGUCUAUUAAUUGUAGACCUGUAUGAAAGGCAAAAUGAGGGUCAAGCUGUCUCUUAUAGUAGAUCUAUUAAACUGAUCUUUUAGUAAAAAAGCUAAAAUGAUAACAUAAGACCAGAAGACCCUGUGAAGCUUAAACCAAACUAUUAAACCAAAUAAUAGCUACUUUCGGUUGGGGCGACCUUGGAAACAAAAAGAACUUCCAAACACCAAUGCUUAAACACCAAAUAUUAGGCCCACAAGCCAACUAAACGACCCAGCAAAGCUGAUAAUCGAACAAAGUUACUCCAGGGAUAACAGCGCUAUCUUCUUCAAGAGCCCAUAUCAAAAAGAAGGUUUACGACCUCGAUGUUGGAUCAGGACAUCCUAAUGGUGCAACCGCUAUUAAGGGUUCGUUUGUUCAACGAUUAAUGUCCUACGUGAUCU
rnacentral:rRNA from 1 species